AUUGAACGCUGGCGGCAGGCCUAACACAUGCAAGUCGAACGAGUGGCGGACGGGUGAGGAAUGUCUGGGAAACUGCCUGAUGGAGGGGGAUAACUACUGGAAACGGUAGCUAAUACCGCAUACCAUCGGGUGUGCCCAUAUGGGAUUAGCUAGUAGGUGGGGUAACGGCUCACCUAGGCGACGAUCCCUAGCUGGGAUGAGAGGAUGACCAGCCACACUGGAACGGAGACACGGGCCAGACUCCUACGUGAGGCACCAGUGGGGAAUAUUGCACAAUGGGCGCAAGCCUGAUGCAGCCAUGCCGCGUGUAUGAAGAAGGACUUCGGGUUGUAAAGUACGUUCAGCGGGGAGGCGUUACCCGACGAAGAAGCACCGGCUCACUCCGUGCCAGCAGCCGCGGUAAUAC
rnacentral:rRNA from 1 species